GGGGGGAGCAAGCGUUGUUCGGAUUUACUGGGCGUAAAGGGCGCGUAGGCGGCCAGCGCAAGUCAGUUGUGAAAUCUCCGGGCUUAACUCGGAAAGGUCAACUGAUACUGCGCGGCUAGAGUGCGGAAGGGGCAACUGGAAUUCUCGGUGUAGCGGUGAAAUGCGUAGAUAUCGAGAGGAACACCUGCGGCGAAGGCGGGUUGCUGGGCCGACACUGUCGCUGAGGCGCGAAAGCCAGGGGAGCGAACGGGAUUAGAUACCCCGGUAGUCCUGGCCUUAAACGAUGGAUGCUUGGUGUCUGGGGUUUUAUAGUCCCCGGGUGCCGCAGCUAACGCGUUAAGCAUCCCGCCUGGGGAGUACGGUCGCAAGACUG
rnacentral:rRNA from 1 species